UACGGAGGGUGCAAGCGUUAUCCGGAUUCACUGGGUUUAAAGGGUGCGUAGGUGGAGUGGUAAGUCAGUGGUGAAAUCUCCAAGCUUAACUUGGAAACUGCCGUUGAUACUAUCAUUCUUGAAUAUCGUGGAGGUAAGCGGAAUAUGUCAUGUAGCGGUGAAAUGCUUAGAUAUGACAUAGAACACCAAUUGCGAAGGCAGCUGGCUACACGAAUAUUGACACUGAUGCACGAAAGCGUGGGGAUCAAACAGG
rnacentral:rRNA from 1 species